GAAACAUCAACUGUGUAGAAACAGACAAAAUAAAGCUUAAUUUAAUCACCCAUGAAGAAUUAAAUAUACAAAAAGAUUGUGGAGACAUUCAUUUGCCAUGGAGUGGAAGGCUUUCAAAUCUGAACUCCAAAAUUUACCUAAGCUCAGUGCUCAUAUCAAUAUCCCUUAAAACACACGCACAAGACUUUAAUGGAUUCAAAGUAUUUCAACAAUCAACUUGGAACCACUUCUAGAAAGUGUUUGAAAUCACAGCAACAAAACCAAGUGGUCGAUUUGCUAGAAUGCAAAUGUUAUUUUUCAUAUGUUAGAAGAAGGAACCCUAAUACCCAACUCACCCACCUUCCUCCAAUUCAAGAAAUUAACAAUUUAAGGCCAUCCAAAAUGAAAUUUCAACAAUUAGUCCUAUUCUAAAUCAAAUUGAAGGUGAUAUCCACGAACCCAAACAGAAUAAUUCCUUGAAGCUUCAAUUCCACAAAAUUAAUCAAAA
rnacentral:misc_RNA from 1 species